rnacentral:misc_RNA from 1 species
GUAGGUGAACCUGCGGAGGGAUCAUUACCGAGUUCAUGCCCUUACGGGUAGAUCUCCCACCCUGUGUUAUUAUUACCUUUGUUGCUUUGGCGGGCCGUCAGAUUUCGGUCAGGCUAUCGGCUCCAGCUGAUAAGCGCCCGCCAGAGGACCCCAAACUCUGAAUAUUAGUGUUGUCUGAGUACUAUAUAAUAGUUAAAACUUUCAACAACGGAUCUCUUGGUUCUG